GUAAAAUUUCAGAGAGAUCCAUUCACUUAAACACAAGUUAUUGUCUGGAAACUAGAAAAAUGCUUAUUUUUGGCCCCUUUUUGGCCUCUUAUUCCUUAACUUUUUGGGCAAUUAAAGAACCUUAGUGAGCGCGCUCACAUACCCCACGUCCCCACAUUGUUAUUGGAGAAAUAAAAUAAGUGUAAGAAAAAAAAAUUGUAUCAGAAAAAAAAAUUGAAUCAUAAUUUCCUGUCAAUAUGCACAUCUACAUAGUAUGUCCUUAUUAUCUACACAGUUUCAUGAAAUUCUGUUGUGUGGUUUGAGAGGAGUUGCGAUGACAAAAGGUUGCAGUAGUAUAUUGGGCAAAUAAGUUCAAAGGGGCGUAACUCCUGGAAAAAAAAUUGAAUCGUAAUUUCCUGUCGAUAUGCACAUCUACGUAGUAUGUCCUUAUUAUCUGAAAAGGUUUCAUAAAAUUCUGUUGUGUGGUUUGAGAGGAGUUGCGAUGACAAACUGUUGCAGUAGUACAUUAAAGUAAAUAAGUUCAAAGGGGAGUAACUCCUAGAAAAAGAAUUUAAUUGUAAUUUCCUGUCGACAUGCACAUCUACAUAGUAUGUCCUUAUUAUCUAAAAAGGUUUCAUGAAAUUCUGUUGUGUGGUUUGAGAGGAGUUGCGAUGACAAAAGGUUGCAGUAGUAUAUUGGGCAAAUAAGUUCAAAGGGGCGUAACUCCUGGAAAAAAAAUUGAAUCGUAAUUUCCUGUCGAUAUGCACAUCUACGUAGUAUGUCCUUAUUAUCUACACAGUUUCAUGAAAUUAUGUUGUGUGGUUUGAGAGGAGUUGCGAUGACAAACUGUUGCAGUAGUACAUUAAAGUAAAUAAGUUCAAAGGGGCGGAACUCCUAGAAAAAGAAUUGAAUAGUAAUUUAUUGUCGAUAUGCACAACUACAUAGUAUGUCCUUAUUAUCUAAAAAGGUUUCGUGAAAUUCUGUUGUGUGGUUUGAGAGGAGUGGCGAUGACAAGAAACAGGACUGACGUACUG